GAGAGCACAGUACGAUGAAAGUUGUGAGCUGUGUUUGGGGGGAGUUAUUGUCUACCGUUGGCCUCUAUGACAGAAUCAGUCGGGGCCUGAGACAUAGUGGUUUACCCUAU
rnacentral:ncRNA from 1 species